rnacentral:lncRNA from 1 species
AGGAGACUGUUUAGGCCAUGCCUGGCAUCAGUAACUCAGGCUGUUUCCCACACUACAGGCCAGCACUGUGGGCUCUCAGUUUAUUGGGAAAUGGAAAUAAGAGGGAAGGACAAAAGUCCACUGGGAAGCAGACUGGACAGAAAGGAACUCUGAGCAGCUAAACUCUGACUAAUCCCAGGGUAUACCUGCGUUUUCUCUUCACCAGACAAACUGCGGCCUGGACCAGCUGGUGAAACAUAAUUCUGAAUCCUGCCCACAGCCUUCGGUGGUUUUGGAUGAAAGGCCAGCGCCUUGGGAGCCCUGCGUUUGAUUUCAAGUUUUAAGGCCGGCACUGGUGGAGCAAUGAAUGGUGAAAGCUCUCCCCUUAAAGGAGCACAGUUGCCUUUAGGUGACUGCUAACUCAGGCUUUUGCUGAGGACAGUGUUUACUUUGUGAGCUUAAUGACAGGGCUGGCUUUCUGGGAGUGUUGCAAUGAAACAGACUCAGACACAGGCCAUCAUGGGCCUCCUCCCUAGCAAGGCCGCCACGGCUGGCAUCUCAAGAGCAGUCCGUUGAACUUGGGAUUUGGGUGUGAGACACAGUUUCAUCAGAAGAAUUUAAACCAAAGUCUACAUUUGCCCUCUAGAUAAAUGUGUGUGUUCAGCAGCA